UCCUCGUGGGUGGAGAGCACCGCCAUCUUGGUGAGGUCAAGUCACUGCUGCAGCGCAUUCAUGUCAACACAGUUUUUGCAAAAGGACAGGUCAUUGUGCCGGUUUCAACUGUCAAAAUCUGAUAAAUUAGUCCACGAAGGAGAAAGGCAUAACAUUUUACAGGCAGGUCCUAAGCCAUGUCUUGAAUGGAGACAGGUGUGGCAGCGUCAGGCUUGGCUGUGGCCAGAGGAUUUGAACUCAGCUUUGAGAAACCAAAGGUACAUUUUAGCAGAAGGGGCAAUCAGUUUUUCACACGGGGCAAUAGAGGCAUAUUACAGUUUUUUAUUUAUAAAUUUAUUAUUAUUGUAAGGUUCAUAUUUUGUUUAGGAGGUUGACUGCCCUGGGGAUGAAACUGUUCUUAAGUCUGUUGGUGCGAGCCUUGUGAGAUCUGAACCGCCGGCCUGACGGUGGCAGUUGGAACAGGUGGUGGUUGGGAUUCAUGACUCUGCACUCCAAUCCACCAGUGUCACUUUUUACACAGAACAUAUUGUGGAAAGACAGAAAUUCUGCACCAUGGAUUUUCAUGAAGAAAAAAACAAAGAACAGAAACAUCUUUGACAAAAAUGAGAAGAAGUUCACCAAACUCCACCAAGUUGUCAUACUUGGUGACAACAGCGUGACCCUUCCUGUAACUUAGUCCAUUGUACAUGACAUCAUCUUUGUAUUUCUUUCAGUAAAGCUAAAAUGUAGAAGUGCAUUUUUAACUUCUUCACUUUAAAUCUCUGAGUGACCGUUUUAACUUGCACUGCUGGAGGACUCGCCGCCCCGGCGGAAAGGAAAGCCUAAAACAUCUGAUGUCUUUCUGAAAGAGUCAAACACAAAUGGAUAAAGUUUUUCUGAUGUCUGACACAUUUCUUGAAGUAACUAAGUUACUCCAUUGUCCACAGUCUGAUGAGUGGACCACAGUUGAGGAACAACCCUGAAUAAUGUCGUAAGUAGUGGUGUUUAGGUCUCAAGUUGAUGCAAGGAAACAGUGGCUGUCUGGAAACCAGUACCAGACAUCAGAAAAACUUUAUCCAUUUGUGUUUGACUCUUUCAGAAAGACAUCAGAUGUUUCAGGCUUUCCUGAUCCGGUCUUUUAUCCUUUUGUUUGAAAUAGCUGGAAAUCAAUCAAUCAAAUUCCAGUCAUUCAGUUCAACUCAAUUUUUCAUUCAUACAGCCCAACAUCACAACACAGUUGUCUCAACGAGCUUCACACCAGUGAUUGUGUGAAUUUGAUUGAUUUCCAGCCAUUUCAAACAAAAUGAUAGACCAUGGCAAUGCAUAGAUGUGUAAACUAUAUACAUUUUAUUUCACAAAUGGAUUAGAAAAUAAAAAUAUUUUUUUUCAUGUCUUCUUGAGAUUGUAAUGACUAUAAAUCACAAAUAGGCAUGUUAACAUCUAUACAUACAGCACUCACAUAAAUAUCACAUUGAAUCCAUUGAACGUAACAAUAGUCAAAUAGUUUGACUAAUUGUUUAAUAUACAUAAAAUUAAUAUUGCAUAAUCCCACCCACAUGUUUAAAGGUUUCUCCGUGUUGCAGUUACUCAGCUCUCCAUGACACGAUUUAAAACCUGACACAAUGAAACCAUCGCUGAUGCUGUCAGAGCGGACCGCCACCCAAAAACAGCUUCAAAGGGAGGGACGUGUCUUGAACAGUUUUUACUCCAGACGUCCAAACUGCAGCAGCUUGAAGGACUUUUUAUUGCUUUGAAGUUUCAUCCCUCGAUAUAGAUUGAUUGUGCUAUUGUCAUCUUUCAAACCGUUAAGUAAACAAAUUGUUCCUUAUUUGAAGUGGAUUUAGGUGAUCGAGUCUCGCCUGAGACUUGGGAACAGAAUGGACAGAACAAUAGUGGAAGGAAUUAAACCCCUGAUGAUGUGUUUCCGAGUUUUUUCCUCAGGUAUCAGGUUGGGGGUGGAGUGUCAUGCUGACACCACUAGAGGGCGGGAAAGAGCCUCUCCUCCUGUCUUUCUCAGGUGUUGCUCAGAGUCUGGGCUGGGUGGACUGUCUGGGAUCUCCUCCUCCUCCUCUCUGACAGUUUCCUCUUCAGAGUCUCUUGGAAUUUUGGACACAUGAAGAAGUAGAUGACGGGGUUGAGGCAGACGUUCAGCGCCGACAGGAAGAGCGUCACCUCCUUCAGGUGGUAAAGCACAACACUGUCCCUACAGCAGUCUUUUGACUCUUGUACCUGGCAGUGAGUGUACUGUAUGCGGCAGGCAUGGUACGGGACAAAGCAGAUGAAGAACACCACCAGGAUGAUGAAGAUGCUGCGGCUCGACCGGCCACAGGCACCGGUGCUGUCCUGGCAGAUGCGUGUCUGGGACCUGUACACCUCCAUGCCGAUGGAGCCGUAGCAGAAGGUCACAAUGACAAACGUCACCCAGAACAGAAUUGUAUUGAAAACGAUUAUCCCAGUGUGCCACUGAGCUCCAGCUGGUGUCUUCAGCAGCAUGCAGUCCUGGAAGUUCUUCCCCGUCGGGUCCUUGCUCGUCAUCACAACGUUAGGCAGCACGAUGGCGAGGAGGAUGACCCAGCUGAGGAGCACUACCACCCAAGCACAUCUGGUCUUCUCCAGAUAGCGCAGCAAGGAAACCACACUAAACCUGGGUGUGCAAGAGGCAGAGGACGAGGGGUGGACAAUCUUGGCGUAGCGCUCAAGGCUGAUAAAGCCGAUGAAGAUGAUUCCCAUGUACAAGCAUGUAUAGAAGAGCACAUCCGUGUAUCUGCAAGUGAUCACGUACAGAUCCUUGUUCUGGAAGCCCAGGUUAUCUGCCACUCUUAAGGGGAUGGUGAUUAGCAUGAGGAGGUCGGCCACCACCAUGUUCUGCAGGUACACCACCAGACCAGAAUCAGCACCAAGUCUGAGGAAGAUCCAGGCGACCAUGCAGUUGAGAGGAAGACCCACCACGAAGACAAGGCAGUAGAGCGAGGGCAGGACCCGAAGUGUGAAGACGCUGUCGAGGUCGGAGUUGUUGGUCUGGAUCUCCGUGGAGUAAUUCAUCCCUGCAAACACAACACCUUCAGAACAGAAGGGCCCUGACAAACAAUGUCUGCAGACAUAACAGCACAGAGACCGGAUCAAUUCUGUUCAAACCAGAAGGAUGACUGUCAAUCAGACAGCAGAAGACGGAAUACCAACCUUGGUGCCAUCAUGGACGAUUUACAUGAUAUGGACCUUCUUAUUUAACAUCACACCCAUGUCUUUAACUUGGUUCGUCUGUGACAAGGAAACUGACUUUGACCAAAAAUAAGAAACAAACAAAUAUAUACAUUUAUAAAUCAAUUAUUAAAAGUGAUUAAAACAAAAGCCUUUUCUAAUUAUAUCAAAAGACACUCCACUUUGUUUUUCAAUAUAUGGUUUCAAUGAUUUUGAUGAUCAUCAAUUACGUAAUAUACCUUUUUUCCAAUCAUGAGAAAUAUGCACCUAUUUGGAUACUUGAUCUGGAUAGGUUAUAAUGAUCCUGAAACAAUGCUUACGUAAUUAACAAGUACUUUAUAUCUGUCAUUUGAUCUAUGGAUAUUUAGGGAUACACCUGAAUCUGUGUUGGUAAAGUAUAAAAAACUGAAGUUAAGAAGCGGAUAAUGAUAAUUUAGGUUAAAAUCAAAGGUGAAGUAGAAAAGGGGGUUGGAUUAUAUAACUGGGACCUGGGUGGGUGGAGGGAGGAAUCUGCUGAGAGAGGAGUGCCAGCUGUAUGUGAUUGUCCUGUGUUUUCUGUUUGAAUUACUUUUCAUAUUUUAUGACUAUUGUAUUUGCUUUUAUGUAAAGCAAUUUGUGUUUUCAGCUGGAAUGAAAGGCGCUAUACAAAGAAAUACAGUUUGUGUCUAUUUAAAACUAAGGGAAACAUUUGAAUUAUUUACAAGGAUGUGUGGAUUCAUAUGUCUUUUCCUAUCAGUUUCAUGACCAGUUAUCCCAAGUUUGGUAUAUCUGUGUAUUCACUUUUGUUUUAAUAUCUUGAAAUAAACCAUUUCCAAAUCCA